GUCUAAGGCCAUACCACCCUGAAUGUGCCCGAUCUCGUCUGAUCUCGGAAGCUAAGCAGGGUCGGGCCUGGUUAGUACUUGGAUGGGAAGAAGAUUCAGAUUAUUAUAGAAA
rnacentral:rRNA from 1 species